UACGUAGGGUGCGAGCGUUGUCCGGAAUUAUUGGGCGUAAAGAGCUCGUAGGCGGUCUGUUACGUCGGCUGUGAAAACCUGGGGACGUCAACCCCGGGCCCUGCAACCGAUACGGGUAGACUAGAAUUCGGUAGGGGAGACUGGAAGUUCCUGGUGUAGCGGUGGAAUGCGCAGAUAUCAGGAGGAACACCGGUGGCGAAGGCGGGUCUCUGGGCCGACAUUGACGCUGAGGAGCGAAAGCGUGGGGAGCGAACAGG
rnacentral:rRNA from 1 species